UAUAAAUUAUGUCGUGUUUUAUGUUAUAUUUCAUUCAUUGAGGCACGCUCUCAGGGUUCAUCCGAUCUUGUCAGUCCGUUCGUCCGUUCAUUUUUCGCAGUAAUGUACAGACUAUCACUCGUUUUGGUUUGCGUUUACAUCGCUGUUUCAGUAAUGCUGUUGACUUGCCCUCGAGAUACUGAAGCUUCUGCUCUAACACCCUACGGAAAGAGAUCACAGGUGUUUCGUUACAAGAGAAGCAUCUGUCAGGCAGCCAGAGCGCUGAGGUGCGACAGUGAAGAAAAUCCGAUGAGACGAGACCUAGGAGCAGAUGACAUUUGAUGGUGUCACUGAUAAAUUGCGAGGCCCUUUACACUAAUUAUUAUGUCAUGAAUCAUGAAGUCUUUAAGUCAAAUAUUUAAAUUAGUUUUACGCCAAUAAAACAAGAACUCAUUGGGUACCAGA